CGGCUGUACGGAUUACAGAUGUGAGCCACCGCAUCCAGCCCCAACCUCCUUUUCUAAUUACACACAUACCUCAGAGAUAUCGCAAGUUUGGUUCCAGACCACCGCAAUAAAGCAAAUACUGCAAAAAAGCAAUGCACAUGAAUCUUUUGGAUUCCCAGUGCAUAUAAAAAUUAUGGGCCAGGUGGCCAGGUGCAGUGGCUCAGGGUAACCAAGUCUUUCACUGGCCCUGAGACCUGGUUGAAUCCCUGUUAUCCUCCUUCCAUGGGAAACACUGUUGCUUCUGCCACCCCCUGAAACACCCAGGGCUUGAGAAGCGCCCUGACUUGCUGUCUCCCACACCAUGGCUUCUCUCCUCCUGAUGUUCUGUUCCUACUGUCCUGUCCCUCCCUGGCCUCUCUCCCCCGCAGGUCACCUGCCUGCUCUGAGCUGCCCUGGCCUGAUUGGAAGCCCCAGGGACUGUCUCCCUUUCAGGGCUGGGGCUCAGGGUGCCUGAGGCCUCCCGCCAAGGCAGUUCUGCCUGUGCCCUUCCGGCUGGGAGUGGGAAGCAGGAGGACAACAGGAGGGGAGGAAGAAAGGCCAAGAGGCUGAUGGGCUGGGGGCCCAAGUCUCUGAGAAAGACACUGCCGGGCCACUUGAUAGCAACGACAACUAACGUUUAAUUAAUGCUGGUCAUUGAUGCAAUAUGAGGCCAUUACCACACUAUUAUCUCCAUUUUACAGGUGGGGAAAGUGAGACCCGGACCCACGAUCUGAACCCAAACAGUUUCC
rnacentral:lncRNA from 10 species